rnacentral:rRNA from 1 species
AAGAUGGCGACCGGCGCACGGGUGAGUAACACGUAUCCAACCUGCCGAUAACUCUGGAAUAGCCUUUCGAAAGAAAGAUUAAUACCGGAUAGUAUACGAAUAUCGCAUGAUAUUUUUAUUUAAAGAAUUUCGGUUAUCGAUGGGGAUGCGUUCCAUUAGGCAGUUGGUGGGGUAACGGCCCACCAAACCUUCGAUGGAUAGGGGUUCUGAGAGGAAGGUCCCCCACAUUGGAACUGAGACACGGUCCAAACUCCUACGGGAGGCAGCAUG